AUGGUUGCAUGUGAUUUUGAUCUGAAUUUCACAUUUAUUUCAUGUGGGUGGGAAGGGUCCGCAUCAGAUGCAGGAGUUCUUCGUUCUACUAUUAGCAAGGGGUUUCAUGUGCCAGAAGGAAAAUUUUAUCUCGUAGAUGGUGGAAAUGCAAACACGCCUUCUUUUCUUGCACUAUAUCGAGGAUUCGGUACCACCUGA
rnacentral:rRNA from 1 species